GGGAGUGAGGGAGCAGCUGCCUGGGGCUUGGCUGCUGGCUGGGGCUAAACCACAACAACAAUACAGCAGCAAUGGAAUUCCCAGGGUACAAGGAAACAGUUCACUAGAGAUCAACACUCCCUGCCAGAGCUCAACCAAGUCAUCUGGUGAAGCACCCCUGCCCUUCAGCACCUACAGGAAAGAAGCAAUGUGCUAUGAAGUCCUAUAUUUUUUUAAUCUAAAUAAAAAAAACAGAUCCUCAGCUCAGUUUUAAAUCUUAGGCUUUUAAAUCAAGAAAUGCUCUAGCAGUGUAAUAACAUGCAAAUAUGGUCUGACCAUUCAAGCUUUUCUUUAUUUCGCAUUGGUUUUAAUAAAGGCACU